GUGUCAGCAGCCGCGGUAAUACAGAGGGUGCGAGCGUUGUUCGGAAUUACUGGGCGUAAAGCGCGCGCAGGCGGCUCUUUAAGUCCGCUGGUCAAAGACCGGGGCUCAACCCCGCGUCAGCCAGGGAUACUGGAGGGCUGGAGACAGGUAGAGGCAAGCGGAAUUCCGGGUGUAGCGGUGGAAUGCGUAGAGAUCCGGAAGAACACCGGAGGCGAAGGCGGCUUGCUGGACCUGGUCUGACGCUGAGGCGCGAAAGCGUGGGGAGCGAACAGGAUUAGAAACCCUCGUAGUCC
rnacentral:rRNA from 1 species